ACUCCUACGGGAGGCAGCAGUGGGGAAUUUUGGACAAUGGGGGCAACCCUGAUCCAGCCAUGCCGCGUGAGUGAAGAAGGCCUUCGGGUUGUAAAGCUCUUUCGGCCGGGAAGAAAUCGUGUUCUCUAACAUAGGACAUGGAUGACGGUACCGGACUAAGAAGCACCGGCUAACUACGUGCCAGCAGCCGCGGUAAUACGUAGGGUGCGAGCGUUAAUCGGAAUUACCGGGCGUAAAGCGAGCGCAGGCGGUUUUGUAAGACAGAUGUGAAAUCCCCGGGCUUAACCUGGGAACUGCGUUUGUGACUGCAAGGCUAGAGUACGGCAGAGGGGGGUGGAAUUCCUGGUGUAGCAGUGAAAUGCGUAGAUAUCAGGAGGAACACCGAUGGCGAAGGCAGCCCCCUGGGCCUGUACUGACGCUCAUGCACGAAAGCGUGGGGAGCAAACAGGAUUAGAUACCCUGGUAGUC
rnacentral:rRNA from 1 species